AGUCCUAUGGUCUAGUGGUAUGACGUUCGCCUCACAUUCCGACGUGCUACAAGUGCGAAGGUCCGCGAAAGGUCCUGGGUUCGAUCCCCAGUGGGACUA